rnacentral:lncRNA from 13 species
AUGUUUGUCUUUUUUGUAGCUGGCUCAUUUUACUGGGCACAAUAUUCUCAAGGUUCGCCCAUGUUGUGGCACGUGUCAGAGUUUCCUUCCUCUUUAGGGCUGGACCAUCUUCCAUGUUGUGCAUGUAUCCCGUUUGGUUCGUCCGUUCGUCCAUCCAUGCACACGCGACUCAAACCUGUGGUCACCAAUCUGGAAGAAGUUCAGGCUCCUGAGUCCACUGAGAUGGCGUCAACAGGGACUGUAGCUCAAGAGGAACCAGGACUCAAUUCCAUCUAGAAGGAAAGAGGCAGCCCUGAGGGAGGUGCUCCCUGCCUCCCGCUCUGGGCUUGCUCUCGGCGAGUGGUAGUUUAGAGCAAGGGUUUCAUCUUCGUAAGUCUUUGUAUUUGCACUGCCGUUUCUUUACUGCUGCCACUUUAUUCAGUAACCUUUAGCCUAUUAAUUGUGUUUAUUUUAUUUUCCUUUUUAUCUUUCAGUGUUAUUAGGCCCUGCCGGCAAACUGAGUUGAGGAGGGUGUGCCCAGCAGGGAGGAAUGAAGGGCCACAGUGAUUCAGCGAUUCAGCGUCUGGGACUCAGCUGAGCCUUUCCUGCCCCUGAGGCAGGCGGCUGAGGAAGUCCUUGAUCUUGAACCCAGCCCCUUAAGGUCUGCAGGUGGCCCCACCUUCAAAGUAAGAACUCCCCAUGAUUCCACUGGGGCCUCUUCAGCCAGAGGAAGCCGAUGAGCCUAAGAGGCUUCCUGAAAGGCGCUCAGGGACUCCUCAACAAAGCCUCCAGCUCCGAGAGGGAGUGUGAAAUGGAGCAGGAGCUGCCAACAGGGGCAGUCGCGCAUGGCACAUUCAGCGGUGGGAUACAGUGAACUGAAGGACAAAUCAGACGUGUGUUUCAACUGAGCGAACGCUCAAAACAAGCUGCGGAGUGAAAAAAUGCAGGUUCCCAAACCAUGUGUAGCCCAGGCUGCCAUUUAUGAGAAAUCACUCACACUGGACCAGUGCUUUGGGAGGCUGAGGCAGGAGGAUUGAUUGAGGCCAGGAAUUCAAGACCAGCCUGGGCAACAAAGUGAGACCCUGUCUCUCGCUCCUGUAGUCCCAGCUACUCAGGUGGUCGAGCAGGAGGAUCACCUGGGCCCAGGAGUUUGAGGCUGCAGUGAGCUAUGAUGGCCCCACUGCACUCCAGCCUGGGCCAGUGAGUGAGACCCUGUCUCUUAAAAACAAACAAAUAAAAAAAGAGCAGUCCAGGAGCA